rnacentral:misc_RNA from 1 species
GAUGAAGAACGCAGCGAAAUGCGAUAAGUAAUGUGAAUUGCAGAAUUCAGUGAAUCAUCGAAUCUUUGAACGCAUCUUGCGCUCCUUGGUAUUCCGAGGAGCAUGCCUGUUUGAGUGUCCAUUAAAUUCUCAACCUUACUAGCUUUUGCGAAGUAAGGCUUGGAUGUGGGGGUUACUUUUGCUGGCUUCUAACGAGGUCGGCUCCCCUGAAAUGCAUUAGCGGUGCCCUUGUGGACCCCGACUAUCAGUGUGAUAAUUAUCUACGCUGUUAGGCGCCCACGCUUUAGUGUGCUGCUUCUAACCGUCCGGUUUCUGGACAACACAAAUGACAUUUUUGACCUCAAAUCAGGUAGGACUACCCGCUGAACUUAAGCAUAUCAAUAAGCGGAGGA